CACACACACACACACUGUGUGUGUGUCUCACAUAGUCAGCGAUGGAUGGCGAGCAUAUAAUAACAUCGGAAUCCUCAAUCUUCGUGCCUACA